GCACGGGUGAGUAACACGUAUGCAACCUGCCCACAACUGCGGGAUAACCCGUCGAAAGACGGACUAAUACCGCAUGGUAUGGAUCGAUCGCCUGAUUGAUUCAUCAAAGAAUUUCGGUUGUGGAUGGGCAUGCGUUCCAUUAGGCAGUUGGUGAGGUAACGGCUCACCAAACCUACGAUGGAUAGGGGUUCUGAGAGGAAGGUCCCCCACACUGGUACUGAGACACGGACCAGACUCCUACGGGAGGCAGCAGUGAGGAAUAUUGGUCAAUGGGCGAGAGCCUGAACCAGCCAAAUCGCGUGAAGGAUGAAGGUAUUAUGUAUUGUAAACUUCUUUUAUAGGGGAAUAAAGUGCACCACGUGUGGUGUUUUGUAUGUACCCUAGGAAUAAGGAUCGGCUAACUCCGUGCCAGCAGCCGCGGUAAUACGGAGGAUCCAAGCGUUAUCCGGAUUUAUUGGGUUUAAAG
rnacentral:rRNA from 1 species